rnacentral:rRNA from 1 species
GCGAGUGAACCGGGAAGAGCUCAAAUUUGAAAUCUGACAGUCUUCGAUUGUCCGAGUUGUAAUCUAUAGAAGCGUUUUCCGUGCUGAACUGUGUAUAAGUCCCUUGGAACAGGGUAUCAAAGAGGGUGACAAUCCCGUACUUUACACAAUCAUCAGUGCUCUGUGAUACGUUCUCUACGAGUCGAGUUGUUUGGGAAUGCAGCUCAAAAUGGGUGGUAAAUUCCAUCUAAAGCUAAAUAUUGGCGAGAGACCGAUAGCGAACAAGUACCGUGAGGGAAAGAUGAAAAGCACUUUGGAAAGAGAGUUAAACAGUACGUGAAAUUGUUGAAAGGGAAACGAUUGAAGUCAGUCGUGUUCAUUGGACUCAGCCGGUUUUCGGUGUAUUUCCUUUGAACGGGUCAACAUCAGUUUUGUCCGGUGGAUAAAGUCAGUAGGAAGGUGGCUCUCUCGGGAGUGUUAUAGCCUAUUGUCGCAUACACUGGAGGAGACUGAGGACUGCAGCUUGCCUUUAUGGCCGGGGUUCGCCCACGUUCAAGCUUAGGAUGUUGACAUAAUGGCUUUAAACGACCC